GCUGGGCAUGGUGGUGUGUGCCAGUAGUCCCAGCUACUUGGGAGGCUGAGGCAGGGGGAUCACUUGAGGCCAGGAGUUCAAGGCUGCAGUGAGCCAUGAUUGUGCCACUGCACUCUAGCCUGGGCAACAGAGUAAGAUCCUGUCUCUA
ensembl:misc_RNA Metazoa_SRP Metazoan signal recognition particle RNA